rnacentral:rRNA from 1 species
GAUGAACGCUAGCGGCAGGCUUAAUACAUGCAAGUCGAGGGGUAGCAAGAUUGUAGCAAUACAAUUGUUGACGACCGGCAAACGGGUGCGGAACACGUACACAACCUUCCUACAAGUGGGGAAUAGCCCAGAGAAAUUUGGAUUAAUACCCCGUAACAUAGCGAUGUGGCAUCACAUUGCUAUUAUAGCCUCGGCGCUUGUUGAUGGGUGUGCGGCUGAUUAGAUAGUGGGCGGGGUAACGGCCCACCAAGUCUACGAUCAGUAGCUGAUGUGAGAGCAUGAUCAGCCACACGGGCACUGAGACACGGGCCCGACUCCUACGGGAGGCAGCAGUAAGGAAUAUUGGACAAUGGACGCAAGUCUGAUCCAGCCAUGCCGCGUGAAGGAUUAAGGUCCUCUGGAUUGUAAACUUCUUUUAUAAGGGACGAAAAAAGGUCUUUCUAGAUCGUCUGACGGUACCUUAUGAAUAAGCACCGGCUAACUCCGUGCCAGCCGCCGCGGUAAGAC